CAUCUGCAGACUGAGGCCGUUGUUCGUUUAGAGCGAUGCACAGAGUCACCCAGGACGAUUCAUUGUCUUCAGCCAUCCAAGGAUGCCUGCAUCAUCAGCUGGCACGGUGCCGUCAACGUAGUAAAUGGGAAGUCAUGACAAAGCAGUAUGCAUUCAUUCCCAGAGAGACUCUUGCAAGACACUUGCAAACACAUGCAUACACACCUUGUAUAGGUGUAUAAUGUAGAACUAGGCCUGUAUAUUGGAGGGUUCAUAUUAUUAGCUGAUACUUGCUAAGCAAAGAUAUAUCUAUAUCAUUGUAGGUGGUUGUGUAUUAUUAGUAUACCUUCUCAGACAAACUCUCACCGUCCACUUAACCUUUGACAUUCCUCUUUGGUCUAGGUCAUACCAACCCAGUCUCUACUGGAAACGAACACAGUUUCCAUGGGCCAAAAGAUUUACAAGAGCCAGGGGCACAAGGCUCUCAGAGCAGCCGUCCCUCUCAGUUCCUCUCAGUGACUUGAGAAUCACAAAAGAGGCCAGUCAGCUCUGUCCAGGCUGACUCCAGGGUAAACUUCCCCAAGCGCUGAGCUGCAGCUCGCCUUCCACUGGAUGACACCAGUACGGUAGUGAGCGAUAGAUUGCCCGUGUGUAUUUGUGGACCUAUACUGUAUGUGUGUAAUGACUGGCUAUUCAUAUAACCCCCCCAUAACCAACCCUAUCCUGUCUUGCCUCACACCCAUCACCCUCUGCCUCCAGACAAACCCUAUGUAGGUCACUCCAUGUGUUAACACAGCCGCCCAACACGAGGAUUACACUGCAACCCCCAAGAUGGCCAUUUUAGCAGAUUAAUAUCUGCAGAAUAUUUAUCAUAACCCUGUUUUCUAACCGGUUAUUAUCACCUUAUUAUGCAGGUGUUGAUGGUGCUGUCUACAGAAAGUUCUUUAAAUCUACUCAGUUUCUCCACAUCUACCACAAAUGAUGAGAAUGCAGCUUAAUACACCUUUGUGCUGAUUCAUGCUUGCCUCUACUCUUCAUCUGACACUGCAAUUUAAAUUACCACAUCUUAACACAAAGACAUCAAUUGUUGCAUCAUUGCACUUUCCCCGCAUCACCAAAAAUGACCUCAUUCUCCUUCUCUGUGAUGUUCCAGUUGGUGGGUUUCUGUGCUUUGCCACGCAGCUUUCGAUGAUAUAAUUACACGCAGCUCGUCAAAACCCUUCAGCACCGACCGCGCAGUGAUCUGAGCACCUCCUGACAUAAUCUAACCGCCACAUGGCCGUGCCUGCCUCGUCUCAGUCUCUCUCCCUUCCCAGCCUCCUGUUACUGAUCAUUAGUAUUAAGAUGAUAAGCUGUGCCGGCGUGCUUGUUCCCCUGGGUGGCUAAUCACCUGCAGCCGGCAUGCAAGCCCCUAACAUUCAGAGGAAAGCUGAAAACUGUGGGUGAUUGGACACACCAUGCUGUCCGUGGCAGUCAUUUCUCCUCAGGUGUUUAUUUUAUUUAUUUAUUUUUUUUGCAGACGGUAAUUGGGCAGCGGGUGUUCCCUGUUCUGUAACACGAUGUGAAAAGCUGCAGACAGACUGGCAGCUCCAACAGGCACAACUUUAGGUGGACUUUGUUUGAUUUGCACUUUAUUGUCAGAUUUUUUUUCUCUGCUGGACUGUUGGCCUGUUGGAUUACAUACCUAUUAUAUAUACAUUGCUACAUAUGAUAUUGAUUUGAUAUAUUCUGUUAUAUAUUACUUACUAUAUUACACUUCAUAUAUUAUACUAUACUACACCAAUACUGUCUUUUAUACUGUUAUAUUUGAUACCCUUUUCUAUUCCAUCCUAUUGUGUUAAAUUAUACCUUUCACAUUAUACUAUUUACAUAUACGUACAUAGUAUAUCCCAUGACAAUUUAUCAUUUUACACCCGAUUAUGCUAAUGUGUUUUGAAGUUUCUAUAUCAUAGUUGUAUUACAUCUCUAUAUUAAUAGAGACAAACACUAAGUGCCAUUAUUUAAUCAAAUCAUCAGUCUGGUACAUUGGUAAUAGACUUAAUGACUCUGCUGCUAUUAAUCACCACUGUGACUUUACCUUGCUAUGUUUGUCUUCAUAUGUUCUUAUAUAGUUUUUCUAUUUUUUGUUUUAUUCUUAUUUUAGUUUAGUUUUUUAUGUACCUCUUAUUUAUUAUUUUACUUUCUCAAUUAGCUGUACUAUUGCUGUCUUUGUGCUACUGUAACAACUGAAUUUUACCUCUGGGGAUCAAGAAAGGUUUAUGUUAGCCUAUAGAUUAUGUCUAGAACAUAACAGAAAAUGCCAAAUGUUGAGGAAACAUUAAAUAUAUUAUUUUGUUUGUGUGAGCCUUACAGACACGAUGAUAAACAACCAUCAACAUUAAAAUCCUGCAAUCCUACUCAGCAGAACUGGGAAUUGGUAUUUAAGGCUAUGGGAGAAAAUGGCUUCAUUCCAUCAGGAAAGAGAGACUGGGACAUCAACGUGAACAAAAGGCCUAAAUAUGAAUAUCAAGACACGUCAGUCAAAGAAGAGCCCAAUUUCCAAGAAACCUACUUAAUAAGAAAACCCAAAUAGCACUUCAAAUGAAACUGUAUCACCAAGUGCUUCAUUUACCUCCUAUUCAUAAUCCUUUUGUAUACCGGAUCGCAGCCAUAUAAUCUAUCAAAAUCAGUAUUCUUCAGCAGUGCUGCGCAGAGGAUGUGUUAAGGGCUUUUUGUAUAACACAGGAUGUUAAGAGGGAGAUGAGGAAUGAGACACAAGUGAGAGAACAUGGAGCACAAAGUCAUGACGGAAUCAUAAUGAUCGCAAGCAGGAAUUAGAACUUCUAGUCCUCUUCAGGGGAUACACACAUGCACACACACACACGCACACACACUCAGUGGCUCACUUCAAUAGGUACCUUUUUUAAGCAAACAGCUUGCUCCUAUGUAAGUGUCUGAUAUUAUAGCUAUGUGAAUGAGGCAGAUGUAUAAAGCACGUAGACUAAGUCGAGAGGUCAGUUAAUGUUUGCUCAAAUAUCAGACUGAGUAAAGUGACUCAUUAUGAUCAUUAGGGAUCAAUUCAUCAACUCCUGUGUUUUGGUCACAGGCGACAUCUUAAGAUUUGAAGUGAAAACUCUGACCUGCUGGUGGCACUUACAGUAAAAGUCACAGGAUCACCGAAGUCAGUAGGAUUCAUCUUCUGGGAACAUCAUCGCACUCCAUCCAAUAGUUGUUGAGAUAUUUCAGUCUGGACCACAGUGGAAGGCCGAUCAUCCAACCUACAUUGUUAUCCCAAGAGCCACGAUGCUAGCAUGGCUAAAUGGAGUGAAAAUUGCCUGAUGAAACCUUGUUUCUAUGUUGAUGAUAGGGUCAGAAUUUGGCAUAAACAACCUAAACCCAUGGAUCAUGUCUGGUGUCAUCAGCACAGACUGUUGCAGGUGUUUGCUGUCCUGGUUCCUAAAUAGUGGAACAAGCUCCCCAUUGACAUCAGGACAGCUGAAAGUCUACACAUCUUCUGCCACAGGUUAAAAAAACAUCUCUUCCGACUGCACC